rnacentral:tRNA from 1 species
GGAGAGAUGCCGGAGUGGUCGAUCGGGGCGGUCUCGAAAACCGUUGUGCCCUUCUGGGGUACCGAGGGUUCGAAUCCCUCUCUCUCCG